AUUGAACGCUGGCGGCAGGCUUAACACAUGCAAGUCGAACGAGUGGCGGACGGGUGAGUAAUGCUUGGGAAACUUGCCUAUGGAGGGGGAUAACUACUGGGAACUGUAGCUAAUACCGCGUACCCUAGGAUGAGCCCAAGUGGGAUUAGGUAGUUGGUGAGGUAAAGGCUCACCAAGCCGACGAUCUCUAGCUGGUCUGAUAGGAUGACCAGCCACAGUGGGACUGAGAAACGGCCAAGACUCGUACGGGAGGAGGAAGGGGGGAAUAUUGCGCAAUGGGGGCAACCUGACGCAGCAAUGCCGCGUGAAUGAAGAAGGCCUUCGGGUGGUAAGGUUCUUUCGGCGGGGAGGCGUUAACGGAAGAAGAAGCACCGGCUAACUCCGUGCCAGCAGCCGCGGUAAUAC
rnacentral:rRNA from 1 species